rfam:Myotis lucifugus cont2.57643, whole genome shotgun sequence.
GCGCACGCCUCUGCCGCGGAGGCCCAGGGCUCUUUGCAAAGUAAUUCACAACGUUUGCCGAACCUUAAACCUUUCCUGAUGCUCCUUCCUCUGACGUUAACUCGUUAAAGUCGC